rnacentral:rRNA from 1 species
GCAAACACGAAAGUGGACGUAUACGGUGUGACGCCUGCCCGGUGCCGGAAGGUUAAUUGAUGGGGUUAGCUAACGCGAAGCUCUUGAUCGAAGCCCCGGUAAACGGCGGCCGUAACAAUAACGGUCCUAAGGUAGCGAAAUUCCUUGUCGGGUAAGUUCCGACCUGCACGAAUGGCGUAACGACUUCCCCGCUGUCUCCAGCAUCGGCUCAGCGAAAUUGAAUUCCCCGUGAAGAUGCGGGGUAUCCGCGGUCAGACGGAAAGACCCUAUGAACCUUUACUGUAGCUUUGCAGUGGCAUCAGAGACAUUCUGUGUAGGAUAGGUGGGAGGCUUUGAAGCGUGGACGCCAGUCUGCGUGGAGCCAACCUUGAAAUACCACCCUUUAAUGUUUGAUGUUCUAACGUGGACCCGUAAUCCGGGUUGCGGACAGUGUCUGGUGGGUAGUUUGACUGGGGCGGUCUCCUCCUAAAGCGUAACGGAGGAGCACGAAGGUCAGCUAAUCCUGGUCGGACAUCAGGAGGUUAGUGCAAUGGCAUAAGCUGGCUUGACUGCGAGCGUGACGGCGCGAGCAGGUGCGAAAGCAGGUCAUAGUGAUCCGGUGGUUCUGAAUGGAAGGGCCAUCGCUCAACGGA